CCAAGGUGGCAGAGUCUGGCCUAACGCAGCGGCCUGCAGAGCCGCCCAUCG
rnacentral:tRNA from 1 species